GAGGGUACAGCUCAAGUGGUAGAGCACUUGCUUAGCAUGCGCAAGGUCCUGGGUUCAAUCCCCAGUACCUCCA
rnacentral:tRNA from 1 species